CCAAAUCAGGGAGAACAGAGCGGGAGGGGGAGGGGCUCCUUAUCCAGCGCACGUAACUUUGCGAACGUUUAGCUUUCGCGCGAAGAAAACGCAAAGUUCUCUUCACGAACGUUUCACUCAAGCUAUAAAGCCUAUUUCUUUAGACGAGACAUGCGUGAACUGCACUGAGAUUUGGGAAGGAAUCUUUAUUGUUCAGAUCCCUCCUCUUUCUUGAGAAGUGGGAGGACCCGAGAAGUUCCUCGCAAAAGGGAGAAUUGUUCCAGGACUCAGUCAUCCAAAAACGUCCUUUCAGUUCAAGAACUUGGGGAGCCGAAGAAAAUGUCGGUGUUGCUGCAUCAGUAGUGAAUUACUGAAGCAGUGGCGGUUUGCGGGUAAAAGAAGGAGAGGAAUUGCAGUUUUCUUGGAAUAAACCGCGAGAAACAUUGGAAAAAUUCGGCCAACUAAAAACUAGUGGAUUCAACUCCAAACUACUGCACGUUUUUGGGGUAGUGUAUGGAAGAUGUCUGGGAUAUUGGACUGGAUACCCUGGGAAAGAAAGCGGAAGAUUCGAGUGCUGUGUGCCCUGGGUGUGCUGCUGUGCUGCCUGCAGGAUAGUGCAGGUGUUAGAGAUGACAUCCCAAUUUUCACCGAGGAGCCUCUCUCUGUGGUACAGAAACUUGGGGGCAGCGUGACCCUGCGCUGCAGCGCCCUGCCCGACCAUGUCAACAUCAGCUGGCGUCUGAACGGCAGAGAGCUGCCGACUGGGGGCGAUGAAGAGCUGGGAGUGCUGGUGCGGCCCGGUUCGCUCCACAUCCCCUCCCUUACUAACCUCACCGUGGGCAGAUACCAGUGUGUGGCCACCAUCAGCGUUGGGUCCUGUGCUAGCGUGCCGGCCAAUGUUACUGCAGCUAGUGAGUUCACACACUUACAUUUGUUGUAUACAUGUUUAAACACAGUGUUGUGAACUUUCCUGUACUAAAUUCAAAGGGCUCUGUAGUGUGUGGUUUUGUGCCAGCUGUACUGCUAGUGUGCGUGUUUACCCUAAGUUAGUCAGUGUUGGAGCACGGGAAGGGGCGUGUAAUGUGACCUACCAUAAUGCCUGUGCGUGUGUGUACGGGUGAACCACGGGCCCCAUUAGUGAAGGGCCUCCUCCCUGUUCUCUACUGCUUCCCUCUUUUCAUAUACAGAGACGGAACGGAACGAGAAGGAAAGACAGAAAAAGAAACUGUGUGUGAGAUUUGUGAAGGUUUCUGCAUAUACUACCGUUUAAAAGUUUGGGGUGGUUGUAAUUUGUUAUAAUAUGUGACCCUGGAGUACAAAACCAGUCAUUAGUAGCAGGGGCAUAUUUGUAGCAAUUGCCAACAAUACAUUUUAUGGGUAAAAAUUAUUGAUUUUUCUUCUAUGCCAGAAAUAAUUAGAAUA